rnacentral:rRNA from 1 species
AUGAACGCUAGCGGCAGGCCUAAUACAUGCCAGUCGGACGGGAUUCAGGAGCUUGCUUCUGAUGAGAGUGGCGCACGGGUGCGUAACACGUAUGUAACCUACCUUUAUCAGGGGGAUAGCCUCUCGAAAGAGAGAUUAAGCCCGCAUAAAAUCACAGCACAGCAUUGUGUAAUGAUCAAAUAUUUAUAGGAUAAAGAUGGGCAUGCGGAACAUUAGCUAGAUGGCGGGGUAACGGCCCACCAUGGCGACGAUGUUUAGGGGAUCUGAGAGGAUGGCCCCCCACACUGGUACUGAGACACGGACCAGACUCCUACGGGAGGCAGCAGUAAGGAAGAUUGGUCAAUGGGCGGAAGCCUGAACCAGCCAUGCCGCGUGCAGGAAGACGGCCCUACGGGUUGUAAACUGCUUUUAUACGGGAAUAAACCCAGAUACGUGUAUCUGGCUGAAUGUACUGUAAGAAUAAGGAUCGGCUAACUCCGUG